UAACCAGGUUCCUGUGGAGGACACGGCUUUGCUAAGCCUGCCUGCCUUCUGUGUCCUCCUCUGGGCCUGAGUGCAGAGGGUGAGAGUCCACAUCCCCAGAACCAUGGGGACUGAACAGGAUUACUACAGAGCAGCAAAGAAGUGGAGCACCAAAGGAAGGAGUACACAACACCUUGUGAACACAGAAUUCUGGUGGACCCACAAUACGUGGGAGUUCAGUGAGACUUAAAGAAUAAAAGUGUCUUCCACCUGAUUUGCAAGGCAGGAGAGAGGUAAUUUCACAAGGGGACUGUGGCAUCCAAAGCACAGCAACUUGAGUUGAGUCACUUCAAUAUUCUCCCAUAAAUUCCCUGGGACAACUUUAAAAAGAGUCGACUUUACAUCUUCUGUCUACAAUCAUCUAUUUUCACAUCAAGAUGAACAACAUUAUCCUCAUCUGCGGGAGGAUCUGAGACUAGCGCCUCAACACGAGGCUUUCUACUUAAUGUG